rnacentral:rRNA from 1 species
AUGCCAUCUUCCGCUGUCUUGUUUCCAAGCUUUGUUUGGUUUCUAUACCUCUUUUGCUUCCUUUGCAGCCUACCACUAGCCAUCUGCAAGGAAACUGAAAAUGAUAGACAGGCCCUCCUUUGCUUCAAGUCCAGACUCUCAGGCCCAGCACGAGUUUUAGCUUCAUGGAGCAAUAAGUCCUUUGAUGUUUGCGAGUGGCAUGGGAUCACCUGCAGCAAACCGUAUCCUCGCCGUGUGAUUGCGCUGGACCUCGAGUCGGAAGGCAUAUCAGGCUCCAUAUCACCUUGCGUUGCUAACCUGACUUCUAUUACAAGGCUGCAGCUGUCAAACAACAACUUCAGUGGUGGCAUACCAUCGGAGAUUGGCCUCCUGCGCCGUCUCCGUGAGCUCAACCUCAGCAGGAACAAUUUGGAAGGUAACAUACCGCCAUCUUUGGGCACCAGCCCUUCUCUCACAUAUGUCAAUCUUGGGGUGAACGCUCUAACAGGGGUCAUCCCGGAGUCCCUGGCAUAUAGUUCAUCCUUCCGAAUACUUUGGCUCAAUGGCAAUAGUCUUGGUGGAAAACUGCCAAAGGCUCUCUUCAACUCAUCAUCUCUUGUUGACAUUUCCCUCCAACAGAACAACCUUGUUGGUUCCAUACCUGUUGUUACUGCCACCUCUCCCCCUAUUGAAUACCUCGAUUUAAGUGAUAAUCAUAUUUCAGGAAAAAUACCUUCCUCACUAGGGAACCUUUCCUCCCUUGUGGAUCUUCGUCUUACGGGGAACAAUUUAGUCGGGAGCAUACCAGAGAGCUUAGGUCAUAUCUCACCUCUGCAGAUACUGGCAUUGACUGCCAACAACUUGUCUGGGACAGUUCCACCAUCUCUCUUCAAUAUGUCAUCUCUGACAUUUCUUAGCCUAGGAAACAACUCGCUUGUUGGAAGGUUACCCCCUAAUAUUAGCUACACACUCCCGAAUAUUCAGACAUUAGUGCUCUCAACAAACAAGUUUGAAAGCCCAAUCCCAGCUUCUCUUCCAAAAGUUUACAACCUUCGUCAGCUUUACUUGUAUAACAACACACUAACUGGGUUCAUACCCUUCUUUGGGUCAUUGCCAAAUUUGGAGGAACUUGAUUUGUCAUACAACAGGCUAGCAACAGGAAACUGGGGAUUUAUGUCUUCACUCGCAAAUUGUACCAGGUUGACUAAGCUGCUGUUGGUUGGGAACAAUCUUCAAGGCAAAAUGCCAAGUUCGAUAGGCAAUCUUUCUGAUAGUCUUGAGUGGCUUUGGCUAAGGGAAAACCAAAUUUCUGGGCCUAUACCACAAGAGAUUGGCAAUCUUAAGAGCCUCACUAGGGUUUACAUGGAUUACAAUCUUAUCACUGGAAAUAUACCACCAACUAUUGGUAAUUUGCACCGCUUGGUCCAUCUAUCUUUUGCACACAACAAACUGUCAGGGCAAAUCCCAGAUACUAUUGGUAAUCUUGUUAAGCUAAUUUCAUUGAAACUGGAUGAGAACAACAUUAGUGGAAGGAUACCUGCAAGUAUAGGAAGUUGUACUCAACUCGAGGAACUCAACCUUCGUCAGAACUCACUAGGUGGGAGUAUAUUUUAA